rnacentral:rRNA from 1 species
UGAAUGAUCCUUCGGGUGAAAUUAGAACUGGAAAGUGGCGAACGGGUGAGUAACGCGUGGGUAACCUGCCCUAUGGAAAGGAAUAGCCUCGGGAAACUGGGAGUAAAGCCUUAUAUUAUGGUUUUGUCGCAUGGCAAGAUCAUGAAAACUCCGGUGCCAUAGGAUGGACCCGCGUCCCAUUAGCUAGUUGGUGAGAUAACAGCCCACCAAGGCGACGAUGGGUAACCGGUCUGAGAGGGCGAACGGUCACACUGGAACUGAGACACGGUCCAGACUCCUACGGGAGGCAGCAGUGGGGAAUAUUGCGCAAUGGGGGCAACCCUGACGCAGCAAUACCGCGUGAGUGAAGAAGGUUUUCGGAUCGUAAAGCUCUGUUAUUGGGGAAGAAAACAUGACGGUACCCAAUGAGGAAGUCCCGGCUAACUACGUGCCAGCAGCCGCGGUAAUACGUAGGGGACAAGCGUUGUCCGGAAUGACUGGGCGUAAAGGGCGCGUAGGCGGUCUAUUAAGUCUGAUGUGAAAGGUACCGGCUCAACCGGUGAAGUGCAUUGGAAACUGGUAGACUUGAGUAUUGGAGAGGCAAGUGGAAUUCCUAGUGUAGCGGUGAAAUGCGUAGAUAUUAGGAGGAACACCAGUGGCGAAGGCGGCUUGCUGGACAAAUACUGACGCUGA